CUGAGCCGCUCCUGGAAACCAGGCGUGGGGCUGAGCGCUGGGGUGACCGUGGGAAGACCCUGUGGACCUAGGGGAACCCGAGGCUUCAGGCGGUGCCGGCUGUGGGGACUGUGGAUGGUGGCUGGGGAAGAGACCAGAGGAAGGGGACUGGCAUCAAGUAGUCCAUCAAUAUGAUUGACUACUUUGACAGACUUUCUUGAGCAUAAAACCAACCUUGCAUUCCUGGAAUAAAUCCAGCUCACCCUUAUUUUACUGCUCCAAUCUUUUUAAAAGAAGUGAGGACAAUCAUGCUGGGGAAGCGAUGGACCUUUCUCCCUGGGAAAUGCCCAGGCUGGCUAAUUUGAGACAGAAGAAGGUGCAUUGGCCCCCAGCUCAACCCUGGCUCUGCAACUCUCAGAGGUUGGGUCACGACCCACACCUCUGCCUUAUACACACCUUAUAAGACAGAUAAUGUAUGUUCUCCUUGUGAAGGUCAAGGAGUUAAUUAUUUCUUUGGAGUCUUCUAGCACAACAGAUAACAUCUAAGGAGUGAAACUGUGCCCCAAGGGGAGUCGUCAUGAAUGUUUUCCAAGACCACUGACUCAUCAAGACCCCUGGCUUCAGGGCAUAAGCGACUUAUGGGGAACCUUUAAACACUCCUCUGUGUUCUGGAUGCCUGAGAAGACACAUGCAUGGAACCACCUCAAUAAAACCCUA